UACGUAGGGUGCAAGCGUUGUCCGGAAUCAUUGGGCGUAAAGCGCGCGUAGGUGGCCAUUUAAGUCCGCUGUGAAAGUCAAAGGCUCAACCUUUGAAAGCCGGUGGAUACUGGAUGGCUAGAGUACGGAAGAGGCGAGUGGAAUUCCUGGUGUAGCGGUGGAAUGCGCAGAUAUCAGGAGGAACACCAAUAGCGAAGGCAGCACUCUGGGACGUGACUGACGCUGAGACGCGAAAGCGUGGGGAGCAAACAGG
rnacentral:rRNA from 1 species